UUGACUAUACUUUCAGGGAUCAUUUCUAUAGUCUGUAACUAGAGAAGGGCAGCUGGAAGUGGUAGGUCUCGCUAACCCCAAGGAGGAGUUAAAGUGUUCUCUUCUGAGUGGGAGGUGAGCAGACAACAUUGCUUUAAUGCAGCUGCUGUCUGUUAUUGAUGACUGUUCCUUCUUUCGUUUUGGGAAGUUGGAGGGAGAGAACACAGGCUGAGUGCU
rfam:Pelodiscus sinensis unplaced genomic scaffold scaffold78, whole genome shotgun sequence.